rnacentral:rRNA from 1 species
CCCGACUGCUAUUUGGGUGAGAAUAGGCCAUGCGAGUUGAAUGGGAUACCUAAAUUUCCCAUAGCAAACUGCUCAGUAACACAUGAUCAACUUACCCUAUAGAGAAAAAUAACCUCGGGAAACUGAGGAUAAUGUUUCAUAAUUGAAUUGGCUUGGAAAAGUUUUUCAAUGAAAAGGAUAAAAAAAAUGGUUUUUAUCUGCUAUAGGAUAGGAUCGUGUUCGAUUAUGGUUGUUGGUGAGAUAAUGGCUCACCAAGCCGAUAAUCGAUAGGGGCCGUGAGAGCGGGAGCCCCGAGAUGGGUACUGAGACAACGACCCAGGCCUUACGAGGCGCAGCAGGCGCGGAACCUCCGCAAUACACGAAAGUGUGACGGGGUUACCCAAAGUGUUCAAUAGAACUGUGGUAGGUGAGUAAUGUCCCCUACUAGAAAGGAGAGGGCAAGGCUGGUGCCAGCCGCCGCGGUAAAACCAGCUCUUCAAGUGGUCGGGAUAAUUAUUGGGCUUAAAGUGUCCGUAGCCGGUUUAGUAAGUUCCUGGUAAAAUCGGGUAGCUUAACUAUCUGCAUGCUAGGAAUACUGCUAUACUAGAGGGCGGGAGAGGUCUGAGGUACUACAGGGGUAGGGGUGAAAUCUUAUAAUCCUUGUAGGACCACCAGUGGCGAAGGCGUCAGACUGGAACUACGCCUGACGGUGAGGGACGAAAAGCCAGGGGAGCGAACCGGAUUAGAUACCCGGGAAGUGNUGGCCCGUAA